CUAAUUCCCACUUGGUACUACUAAAUACAUGAACAUGACUAAUCUAUCCGACCUUUCCAAGGCCUAUUCCAUCUCAUAUUUUGCACAGCGAAAGCUGCACAUGCAUUAUCUGUUCCUAUGCCUGCAGACGGAAGGGACUGAAUGCGGAUAUGAGAGUUCCAACAUUCAUCCAACUGUCGGUAAGUAACAUUCAUCCAACUGUCGGUAAGUUCAGUUCCUCAUCCGGUGCAUGCUGUCACCAGUGACUUGUAAGUUGUAACCCUGCCACCUUCCUAUCUCACUGAAAGAAAAGCAACAUGGAGGACAGAUGAGAUUCAAGUUUUG
rnacentral:lncRNA from 1 species